UUGUGAGCUCCGCUCCCUUCCUAGCUCGGCAAGGUGAGGCGAUUUUCAGUUGAUUCAAGCAAAAGGAGUUCGCUGUGACCAAACCAGGGCAAAAUUUGAAGUAUGGGAGGCCUCGAAAAGUUAUUUGCACUUAAGCAGAAUGCUUUUAGGAGGGAUCUUGUUUCCUGUGUCGGCUACAUGCCUUUUCAUGAAGAUGUGAACCAGCAUCCAAGAGUUAUGAAGAUGAUAUGAAGUUUUUGCUAUAUCUUGAAGAAAGAAGCUAGGCCUUUUUCUGUGCAGUCUUU